AUUGAACGCUGGCGGCAGGCCUAACACAUGCAAGUCGAGCGGUAGAGAGGUGCUUGCACCUCUUGAGAGCGGCGGACGGGUGAGUAAUGCCUAGGAAUCUGCCUGGUAGUGGGGGAUAACGCUCGGAAACGGACGCUAAUACCGCAUACGUCCUACGGGAGAAAGCAGGGGACCUUCGGGCCUUGCGCUAUCAGAUGAGCCUAGGUCGGAUUAGCCAGUUGGUGAGGUAAUGGCUCACCAAGGCGACGAUCCGUAACUGGUCUGAGAGGAUGAUCAGUCACACUGGAACUGAGACACGGUCCAGACUCCUACGGGAGGCAGCAGUGGGGAAUAUUGCACAAUGGGCGAAAGCCUGAUCCAGCCAUGCCGCGUGUGUGAAGAAGGUCUUCGGAUUGUAAAGCACUUUAAGUUGGGAGGAAGGGUCGUUAACUAAUACGUGACGAUUUUGACGUUACCGACAGAAUAAGCACCGGCUAACUCUGUGCCAGCAGCCGCGGUAAGAC
rnacentral:rRNA from 1 species